AUCGAACGCUGGCGGCAUGCCUAACACAUGCAAGUCGAGCGGAGCGGCGGACGGGUAAGUAAUGGCUAGGAAUCUGCCUGGUAGUGGGGGAUAAGGUCCGAAAACGGGCGAUAAUACCGCAUAGUAUCAGACGAGCCUAGGUCGGCUUAGCUAGUUGGUGGGUUAAAGGCCUACCAAGGCGACGAUCCGUAACUGGUCUGAGAGGAUGAUCAGUCACACUGGAACUGAGACACGGUCCAAACUCCUACGGGAGGCAGCAGUGGGGAAUAUUCGACAAUGGGCGAAAGCCGGAUGCAGCCAGGCCGCGUGGGUGAAGAAGGUUUUCGGAUUGUAAAGCACUUUAAGUGGGGAGGCGGUACCAACAGAGAAAGCAACGGCUAACUACGUGCCAGCAGCCGCGGUAAUUC
rnacentral:rRNA from 1 species